CUUAUGUGAUGAGGUAUGUUACCGCCCCAGUCUGAUGUAUGGUGACUGACUGGUAUCUUCUCACUUUUA